rnacentral:rRNA from 1 species
UACGGGGGGGGCAAGCGUUGUUCGGAAUUACUGGGCGUAAAGGGCUCGUAGGCGGCCAACUAAGUCAGACGUGAAAUCCCCAGGCUCAACCUGGGAACUGCGUCUGAUACUGGAUGGCUUGAAUCCGGGAGAGGGAUGCAGAAUUCCUGGUGUAGCGGUGAAAUGCGCAGAUAUCAGGAAGAACACCCGUGGCGAAGGCGGCUCUCUGGGACGGUACUGACGCUGAGGAGCGAAAGCGUGGGGAGCAAACAGG